CUCUAUCCACAAGAGCAUAAGAAGAUCACAACCCCAGGCAGGUGGGAAGAAGGAGGGCUGAGGGUGAGGAGACCAGCACAGAACCAAAAUUUGAGUCUCAGAACUUAGCCAGAACAUCUCAAACAAAUGAGGAAUUUCUGAACAAUCUGAAGGUUAAAAACAAACACUGUUCUGGCUUCGGGCCUUGAAAUAGGCACCUGAAUCUCCAGGAAAGUCAGCUCCUUUGGUAGUCCAUACCCCACUUUCUAUUUCUGCUUUCUUUAAUGUACCUCAUAUAAGAUUUUUUGAAAUCUAAUCUUCCUAUAAAAUUUUUUAUUAUCCCAUUCAACAUAGGAUGGCUACUGAUGGGACUAUCGGAUACCUCUUCGCCACUUUCCCGAUGGUACCGGACACGGGACAGACCAAAUGAAAAUCAGACUACCAGAAAACUGGACGAGUGGCCACCCUGAUCCCACAUUCGCCAGAAUGUCAGUGAUGUGUUGAGAUGUAGGCCUUUUCUUCGAACCAAGACUUAAAUAGAACACCAAAUUUCUCCUAUAAGAGUGCUCCAGAGAAAACAAGCUGUCCUGGGAGCCCCAGAGAAUAGACUGCCAAAGGUAUUCCCAGCCUUCAAAACCAACCCUGGGCUAUGCACAAAGAGGAUGAGAAGGAAAAAUGACUUUAGUCCGUUCUUUGUUUUCCCGGCCAACCUUCCAGGCUCUGAAUCUUUAGCACCUCAGAGGUUUUAAGGGUUGUUUCUUAGAGAUUGAGAAAUUCUUCAAGGACUCAUCAAAGACUUUAUUAGCAGCAAAACUAGAGAAGGGAGGGGAAGAUAGGUUGGGUCCAAGUUUAGACCCUCUUCAAGCUUCCUAUAUCCUGCAGGGAGAAUUUAACACAAACCUGACCAAGCCUGGGCUGUUUGUAUUAUAGCCGUGGAGACCCCAUGCCCAAGGCUCUAGUAAAGAAUUGUUGAUUUGAUUCGUUGUACCACCAGUAUAUUGCCUGGUAAGAGGUGGGUUGAUUAAAAUGUGCAUGGAAGAAUAACUUCUUUUUACUUAUCUGUUGAAAAAGGUCAACUUUUUAAUUCAUAGGAAAAAGGUCUCAAAAACAAUCCUGUCUGUUGUAGUAAGCUCGCUGUGGCAAGGGAAUGUGUCUACCAACUCUGUUGUACUAUCCCAAGCACUUAGUACAGUACUCUCCACACAAUAGGCACUCAAUAAAUAUGAUUGAUGGGCACAAAUGAAUUGAAA
rnacentral:lncRNA from 1 species